ACAAAUUCCUUGUGUGUAAUAUACUUGGCCAAUAAAGGUAAUUAUCCUUAUCAAAUUUAACCUUUUCCUCUUUUUUCGUUAAUAUGUAGAACACAUGAACUGCCAGCUGCUCCAAGAAAGUACUGGGGGUUGGACGGGGAGGUUGGCAGUAACACAGCCAACUCGAACAAAUCUCCUCAGCGCUCAAACCUCAACUCCAGCUAUUCUCCUUUGCAUUCCAGCACAGACUACGGCAACUCUCCUCAGCACUCGAACGAUUCUCCCCAGCACAUUAGCAACAACCCUGGCUGUUCUUCUCGUCACUCCAUGGGCCGCUUUGGUGGGUCCUCUCAGCAGUCUGGAAGCAGCACUAGGGGCACGCGUGGCUCUCCUCAGCAGUCCAGAAGCAAGGAGUGAUAACUUCAGAACUCCUCUUGGAGCUCCCUCUGCUAUUUGACAGAAUCUCCUGACCAAACAGGAGAUCAUUCUUGACCAGUUAAGAACAAUCAUCCUAACCUUGCAAGGCACUGGAGGCCUUAGACAUACCACAGAUGCUGAUGUUCUCGAACCGGGAACUCUUCCUUUUCACAAUCCGGAGUCGCUGUUAGACCUCAGGUUCUGACCUAAAGCAAAAGUUGAUCAACACAUUAGCACUGAGAGGGGGCACCAAUGUCAAAGAGAGUGUUUUGAGGAUGAUGAGCCAUGUCAUGACAAAUCCCCUUGCACUUAAAAUCAAUUGGAGAGGAAUCAGUGGGAAGGCUGCAUUCCACCGAAUGGUGUUAAAGGAUGUUCUAGCAUGUAAGUUAAUGUAGUUUGUGUGUGUGUGGGUGUUUGCUUUUUGGCUAUUGGAGUAUUCAAGAAAAUAGAUUUUAUAGUACAUUUAAUAAGAAAUGUUUUAUUUAAAGGUGCAGUAAGACAAAAUAGACUGACUAGCACUGCAAGCGACCUGGAGGUUGAGGCUGCCAUAAAACGGUGGUUGCAUCUUGCCUCUGACCGUGAUGGAGGGAGGAAAGCUCAUGAGGGUUGAGCUGGUGUUGCUGCACGCAGUCACCAAAUUUGACGGAUGUUAUGUUAUACCCAACGACUUCUGCUUUAUCACCUUCGUUUUACACAGACACGAAAUCUUGUUGGCUGAACUGUUCACCGUUUUAAAUUUACCACACCUGUUUGAGUGUUUGUCCAAAAGGUUUAUAUGUUAUUGCUGUUCAUAAAAAAAUGUAAAAUUUUAUCUUUGAAUGCAAACUUUUGCAGUUUUGAUGGACACUAUGCUGUUAAUUGCUGUUUGUGAAUAAAAGCACAAUCCUGUGAACUGGGAUAAACUGUGGAAGU